UACGUAGGGACCAAGCGUUGUUCGGAUUUACUGGGCGUAAAGGGCGCGUAGGCGGCGUGUUAAGUCAGCUGUGAAAUCUCCAAGCUUAACUUGGAACGGUCAGCUGAUACUGAUGUGCUAGAGUGCAGAAAGGGCAAUCGGAAUUCUUGGUGUAGCGGUGAAAUGCGUAGAUAUCAAGAGGAACACCUGAGGCGAAGGCGGGUUGCUAGGCUGACACUGACGCUGAGGCGCGAAAGCUAGGGUAGCAAACGGG
rnacentral:rRNA from 1 species